rnacentral:rRNA from 1 species
UGGGGAAUAUUGCACAAUGGGGGAAACCCUGAUGCAGCAACGCCGCGUGAAGGAAGACGGUUUUCGGAUUGUAAACUUCUUUUCUUAGUGAAGAAGCAAGUGACGGUAGCUAAGGAAUAAGCAUCGGCUAACUACGUGCCAGCAGCCGCGGUAAUACGUAGGAUGCGAGCGUUAUCCGGAAUUACUGGGUGUAAAGGGAGCGCAGGCGGGACUGCAAGUUGGAUGUGAAAUACCGCAGCUUAACUGCGGAGCUGCAUCCAAAAACUGUAGUUCUUGAGUGGAGUAGAGGCAAGCGGAAUUCCGAGUGUAGCGGUGAAAUGCGUAGAUAUUCGGAGGAACACCAGUGGCGAAGGCGGCUUGCUGGGCUCUAACUGACGCUGAGGCUCGAAAGUGUGGGGAGCAAACAGGAUUAGAUACC